GAUGAACGCUGGCGGCGUGCCUAACACAUGCAAGUCGUGCGAGAAAGUUCCUUCGGGAGCGAGUAAAGCGGCGCACGGGUGAGUAACACGUAGGUAACCUGCCCCCCCAGUCUGGAACAACUAGAGGAAACUCUAGCUAAUGCCGGAUGAGACCACGAUCCCUUCGGGGGUUGCGGCCAAAGAUGGCCUCUACUUGUAAGCUAUCGCUGAGGGAUGGGCCUGCGGGCCAUUAGCUUGUUGGUGAGGUAACGGCUCACCAAGGCUGUGAUGGCUAGCCGGUCUGAGAGGAUGACCAGCCACACUGGGACUGAGACACGGCCCAGACUCCUACGGGAGGCAGCAGUGGGAAUAUUGCGCAAUGGGCGAAAGCCUGACGCAGCGACGCCGCGUGGGUGAUGAAGGCC
rnacentral:rRNA from 1 species